CCUACGGGAGGCAGCAGUGGGGAAUAUUGGACAAUGGGGGCAACCCUGAUCCAGCCAUGCCGCGUGUGUGAAGAAGGCCCUCGGGUUGUAAAGCACUUUCAGUGAGGAAGAACGCCUGGUGGUUAAUACCCAUCAGGAAAGACAUCACUCACAGAAGAAGCACCGGCUAACUCCGUGCCAGCAGCCGCGGUAAUACGGAGGGUGCGAGCGUUAAUCGGAAUUACUGGGCGUAAAGCGCGCGUAGGUGGCUUGAUAAGCCGGUUGUGAAAGCCCCGGGCUCAACCUGGGAACGGCAUCCGGAACUGUCCAGCUAGAGUGCAGGAGAGGAAGGUAGAAUUCCCGGUGUAGCGGUGAAAUGCGUAGAGAUCGGGAGGAAUACCAGUGGCGAAGGCGGCCUUCUGGACUGACACUGACACUGAGGUGCGAAAGCGUGGGUAGCAAACAGGAUUAGAUACCCUGGUAGUC
rnacentral:rRNA from 1 species